rnacentral:lncRNA from 1 species
UUUUUUCCACCGGAAAACGACAUAAAUCAUAGCAGAUUUUUUCCUUUGAUAACUUAAUGCUGCAGAUGUGAAGUGUUUGGGGAUGAAUAGGAUUCAGUGUUUGUUAAUGAGAGUUUAAUGUCUUCAUCUUCUGCAUUAAACUCCAGUUAAUUAAUAUUCAUUCAAUUAGAAAAUGUAAAAAUAAAUUAUACAAAAUUAAGCUUUACACAGGAAGCAAGUGACCUCAUUUCUGCUGUUUUCAGGUGAUAAUUACGUUAGCCUCUUUCCUAUAAAGAGGGAGGCACCAAGCCCUAUUAGCCCCUAAAGGGAAGACCUGUGGCUGUCUGUAGGCCCCCCCGCCACGUAGGAGCAUCUGUUUCCAGCCUACCCUGAGCUCGUGGAGACCAAAAACUGUAGCCAGGUCACUGUCUGAGAAAAAGCUUCUAUGUUCCUCAGCCUUUACAGCUGUGAAGUGCAAAGAUGAUCUUCACCUUUCUGCCUGCGUCCUCACAAGGCUAUUUUUCCUUCUCCUGUGGUGAACAUCAGCUUAUCCAGGCGUGCCUUCUGCUAUCACCUUUUGCAGUGCUUGCAUUCUGAUCUGGUGUAUUUAUGGAGGUGUUUGUCAAUUCAAGCCAG